AUUGAACGCUGGCGGCAUGCUUUACACAUGCAAGUCGAACGGUAACAGGCCGCAAGGUGCUGACGAGUGGCGAACGGGUGUGUAAUGCAUCGGAACGUGCCCAGUCGUGGGGGAUAACUGCUCGAAAGAGCAGCUAAUACCGCAUACGAUCUAUGGAUGAAAGCGGGGGACCGUAAGGCCUCGCGCGAUUGGAGCGGCCGAUGUCAGAUUAGGUAGUUGGUGGGGUAAAGGCUCACCAAGCCAACGAUCUGUAGCUGGUCUGAGAGGACGGCCAGCCACACUGGGACUGAGACACGGCCCAGACUCCUACGGGAGGCAGCAGUGGGGAAUUUUGGACAAUGGGGGCAACCCUGAUCCAGCAAUGCCGCGUGCAGGAAGAAGGCCUUCGGGUUGUAAACUGCUUUUGUACGGAACGAAACGGUCUGGGUUAAUACCCUGGGCUAAUGACGGUACCGUAAGAAUAAGCACCGGCUAACUACGUGCCAGCAGCCGCAGUAACAC
rnacentral:rRNA from 1 species